rnacentral:rRNA from 1 species
GUCGAGAAUCUUUCACAAUGGGGGCAACCCUGAUGGAGCGACGCCGCGUGGAGGAUAAGGUCUUCGGAUUGUAAACUCCUGUCAUGCGUGAACAAGGUUGCUUGGUUAAUACCUGGGCAAAUUGAUGGUAACGCAAGAGGAAGAGACGGCUAACUCUGUGCCAGCAGCCGCGGUAAUACAGAGGUCUCAAGCGUUGUUCGGAAUCACUGGGCGUAAAGGGUGCGUAGGUGGCGUGGUAAGUCAGAUGUGAAAGCCCGGGGCUCAACCUCGGAACUGCAUCCGAUACGGCCAUGCUAGAGUACUGGAGAGGUGACUAGAAUUCUCGGUGUAGCAGUGAAAGGCGUAGAUAUCGAGAGGAAUACCAAAGGCGUAGGCAGGUCACUGGACAGUUACUGACACUGAGGCACGAAGGCCAGGGGAGCGAACGGGAUUAGAAACCCGUGUAGUCC